GAAAGGAGUGCUAAUACCGCAUAAGACCACGACUCCGUAAGGGGGUUGGAGGGUCAAAGCAGGCCUCUAUACAUAAGCGUGCACCUGAGGAUCAGCCCGCGGCCCAUCAGCUAGUUGGUAGGGUAACGGCCUACCAAGGCUAAGACGGGCAGCUGGUCUGAGAGGAUGAUCAGCCACACUGGAACUGAGACACGGUCCAG
rnacentral:rRNA from 1 species